rnacentral:tRNA from 1 species
GUCCGGUUGGCGGAGCCUGGUCCAACGCACUCGCCUGCAAAGCGAUCCAAUCACCUGUUCGAAUCAGGUACCGGACU